rnacentral:rRNA from 1 species
UGAGGAAUAUUGGUCAAUGGGCGAGAGCCUGAACCAGCCAAGUCGCGUGAGGGAAGAAUGGUCUAUGGCCUGUAAACCUCUUUUGCCAGGGAAGAAUAAAAGGUACGUGUACCUUCUUGCCAGUACCUGACGAAUAAGCAUCGGCUAACUCCGUGCCAGCAGCCGCGGUAAUACGGGGGAUGCGAGCGUUAUCCGGAUUUAUUGGGUUUAAAGGGCGCGUAGGCGGGACGUCAAGUCAGCGGUAAAAGACUGCAGCUAAACUGUAGCACGCCGUUGAAACUGGCGCCCUGGAGACGAGACGAGGGAGGCGGAACAAGUGAAGUAGCGGUGAAAUGCAUAGAUAUUCGGAGGAACACCAGUGGCGAAGGCGGCUUGCUGGGCUCUAACUGACGCUGAGGCUCGAAAGUGUGGGGAGCAAACAGGAUUAGAUACCCUGGUAGU